rnacentral:rRNA from 1 species
AUGAACGCUGGCGGCGUGCCUAAUACAUGCCAGUCGAGCGAACGGACGAGAAGCUUGCUUCUCUGAUGUUAGCGGCGGACGGGUGAGUAACACGUGGAUAACCUACCUAUAAGACUGGGAUAACUUCGGGAAACCGGAGCUAAUACCGGAUAAUAUUUUGAACCGCAUGGUUCAAAAGUGAAAGACGGUCUUGCUGUCACUUAUAGAUGGAUCCGCGCUGCAUUAGCUAGUUGGUAAGGUAACGGCUUACCAAGGCAACGAUGCAUAGCCGACCUGAGAGGGUGAUCGGCCACACUGGAACUGAGACACGGUCCAGACUCCUACGGGAGGCAGCAGUAGGGAAUCUUCCGCAAUGGGCGAAAGCCUGACGGAGCAACGCCGCGUGAGUGAUGGAGGUCUUCGGAUCGUAAAACUCUGUUAUUAGGGAAGAACAUAUGUGUAAGUAACUGUGCACAUCUUGACGGUACCUAAUCAGAAAGCCACGGCUAACUACGUG